GUGGCCGUAGCCGAGUGGUUCAGGCGGCUGGUUGUGAACCAGUCCACGAGAGUUCGAUUCUCUCCGGCCACCCGA
rnacentral:tRNA from 1 species